rnacentral:rRNA from 2 species
UAAAUUUAGAGUUUGAUCCUGGCUCAGGACGAACGCUGGCGGCGUGCUUAACACAUGCAAGUCGAGCGAUGAAGCUUCCUUCGGGAAGUGGAUUAGCGGCGGACGGGUGAGUAACACGUGGGUAACCUGCCUCAAAGUGGGGGAUAGCCUUCCGAAAGGAAGAUUAAUACCGCAUAAUAUAAGAGAAUCGCAUGAUUUUCUUAUCAAAGAUUUAUUGCUUUGAGAUGGACCCGCGGCGCAUUAGCUAGUUGGUAAGGUAACGGCUUACCAAGGCAACGAUGCGUAGCCGACCUGAGAGGGUGAUCGGCCACAUUGGAACUGAGACACGGUCCAGACUCCUACGGGAGGCAGCAGUGGGGAAUAUUGCGCAAUGGGGGAAACCCUGACGCAGCAACGCCGCGUGGGUGAUGAAGGUCUUCGGAUUGUAAAGCCCUGUUUUCUAGGACGAUAAUGACGGUACUAGAGGAGGAAGCCACGGCUAACUACGUGCCAGCAGCCGCGGUAAUACGUAGGUGGCGAGCGUUGUCCGGAUUUACUGGGCGUAAAGGGUGCGUAGGCGGAUGUUUAAGUGGGAUGUGAAAUCCCCGGGCUUAACCUGGGGGCUGCAUUCCAAACUGGAUAUCUAGAGUGCAGGAGAGGAAAGCGGAAUUCCUAGUGUAGCGGUGAAAUGCGUAGAGAUUAGGAAGAACACCAGUGGCGAAGGCGGCUUUCUGGACUGUAACUGACGCUGAGGCACGAAAGCGUGGGUAGCAAACAGGAUUAGAUACCCUGGUAGUCCACGCCGUAAACGAUGGAUACUAGGUGUAGGGGGUAUCAACUCCCCCUGUGCCGCAGUUAACACAAUAAGUAUCCCGCCUGGGGAGUACGGUCGCAAGAUUAAAACUCAAAGGAAUUGACGGGGGCCCGCACAAGCAGCGGAGCAUGUGGUUUAAUUCGAAGCAACGCGAAGAACCUUACCUGGACUUGACAUCCCUUGCAUAGCCUAGAGAUAGGUGAAGCCCUUCGGGGCAAGGAGACAGGUGGUGCAUGGUUGUCGUCAGCUCGUGUCGUGAGAUGUUAGGUUAAGUCCUGCAACGAGCGCAACCCUUGUUAUUAGUUGCUACCAUUAAGUUGAGCACUCUAAUGAGACUGCCUGGGUAACCAGGAGGAAGGUGGGGAUGACGUCAAAUCAUCAUGCCCCUUAUGUCCAGGGCUACACACGUGCUACAAUGGUAGGUACAAUAAGACGCAAGACCGUGAGGUGGAGCAAAACUUAUAAAACCUAUCUCAGUUCGGAUUGUAGGCUGCAACUCGCCUACAUGAAGCUGGAGUUGCUAGUAAUCGCGAAUCAGAAUGUCGCGGUGAAUACGUUCCCGGGCCUUGUACACACCGCCCGUCACACCAUGAGAGCUGGUAACACCCGAAGUCCGUGAGGUAACCGUAAGGAACCAGCGGCCGAAGGUGGGAUUAGUGAUUGGGGUGAAGUCGUAACAAGGUAGCCGUAGGAGAACCUGCGGCUGGAUCACCUCCUUU